CAACCCUCUCACGUGCGGAUGCUGGAGACAGGAAUGCACCACACACAUGCUAUUACUUCUCACCUUAGAUACACUACGUACUGAUCUAUACACUACAUACUGAUCUAUACACUACGUACUGAUCUAUACACUACAUACUGAUCUAUACACUACAUACUGAUCUAUACACUACGUACUGAUCUAUACACUACAUACUGAUCUAUACACUACAUACUGAUCUAUACACAACAUACUGAUCUAUACACUACGUACUGAUCUAUACACUACAUACUGAUCUAUACACUACGUACUGAUCUAUACACUACGUACUGAUCUAUACACUACAUAUUGAUCUAUACACGACAUACUGAUCUAUAGUAGUGGAUGAUACACUACAUACUGAUCUAUACAAUACAUACUGAUCUAUAGUAGUGGAUGAUACACUACAUACUGAUCUAUACACUACAUACUGAUCUAUACUCUACAUACUGAUCUAUACACGACAUACUGAUCUAUAGUAGUGGAUGAUACACUACAUACUGAUCUAUAGUAGUGGAUGAUACACUACAUACUGAUCUAUACACUACAUACUGAUCUAUAGUAGUGGAUGAUAUAACACAUGAGAUCUCUCUCUCUCUCCAGCUGAUAUCCUGGUCUACAUCAAUGACAGUUGUGUCCUGGGUCUCUCUCAUAAAGAGGUGGUAGAGAUGUUGAAGUCUGUCCCUAUGGGUCACAGUGUGGACGUUGUGUUACGGAGAGGCUAUCCCAUGCUCUACAACCCAGACGGCUGUCCCAAACAACCCCUGACUCCCUCCGCCUCCUCCUCUCCUCUGGAACCCCUCAGUGCUGCAGCCACCCCUCCCUCCACAGCCACCGCUCAGCCCCUCUCCACCCCCGGUCCUGGCCCUACCGAGCCACCCCAACCUCCCGGCCUGGCUAACCUGAACCGUACCCUGUCUCAUCACAACGGAAACUAUCUCAGAGUGGCGGGAAACUCAGGGUCUGGGCUGGACGCUAACGGGAACGCGGCAGACCUGUUGUCGGCUCCCCCCUCCUACCCGCUGUCUAAUGGAAUCCUUAGCUCUUCCACCAGCUCAGCCUGCGCCCCCUCCUCCUCUCACAGUAGGGGCAUCCCCCCUCCUCCCCCGCCUGAACGAACCUCCGCCUCCGCCAGCCAGAGUGACUCAGAGGAAGGAGCCUCGGGUGGAGCGACACAGAGAUGGUCUCUGAUGCGCUACAACGCGAACUCCCUCCCCACCCCCUCCUCCAUACUCCACCACCAGAGUGACUUCACCACCUCCACCCUGCCCAUCUCCGUCUCCAAUCUGCCCCUGUCCCAGCCGGACGUGUGCACCGCCACCACCCCUGGAGCCCCCUGCCAACGGCCCCCCAUGCCCCAGACCUCCCUCAUGCUCCCCUCGCCCACGGAGGUCCCCCUUUGUGGCUUCAACGGCUGCCCAGCCAACGCCCAACCCCAUGGGAGCCACAGCGCGCCCAGUGAGGGAGUACCUGGUGGGGCUGGAGGAGGGGAGCUGGUCCCUGUGCCCCUGGGGAGGAGUGAGGGGGGUGGGAUGGGGUUCAGUGUGACGGCGGGGGGGCAGGGGGGGCAGCUGGCCCUGGUGAAGAGGGUCUGGGACAGAAGGCAGUGCUCCUCCCUGCAGCCAGGGGAUGCUAUAGUCAAGAUCAAUGGCGCUGACGUGCAGAGUCUCAGCUUCGCUCAGGUACGACCAACUUUGGAGACAGAUAGGGACUAGGAUCAAAUCAGCGGAAAUUUUAGAGCGCCACCGAAAGUUUUCGAUAAAACUCAAACUUUCAUUAAAACACACAUGCAAGGUACUGAAUUAAAGCUACACUCGUUGUGAAUCUAGCCACAAGUCAGAUUUGUAAAAUGCUUUUCGGCGAAAGCAUGAGAAGCUAUUAUCUGAUAGCAUGCACCCCCAGAAUACCAGACCGUCAACAAAACAACAGAUUUUGCGGUAGCCGGCGCUACCCAAAACGCAGAAAUAAAAUAUAAAACAUUCAUUACCUUUGACGAGCUUCUUUCUUGGCACUCCUAUAUGUCACAUAAACAUCACAAUUGGGUCUUUUUCCCGAUUAAAUCCGUCAUUGUAUACCCAAAAUGUGAUUUGCUGAAGACCGGUCUGAUCCAGAAAAAUGCCCCUUUACAAGACGCAACGUCACUUUUUAAAAUGACAAAAGUUGCCUAUAUACUUUUACAAAUCACUUCAAACUACUUUUCUAAACCAACUUUAGGUAUUAAUAAACGUUAACAAUCUAUCAAAUUGAUCACGGGGCGAUCUGUAUUCAAUAGCAGCAAGUCUUGAAAUCAUACUCCAUGUUUUCACUUUCAUAACAUCCUGUGGUGAGCCCCAAGAAAGGAAGUGCCUAUACGUCACCAAACCAAGGAUAAAGCAGCCCAAAAAUGCCAGCACUGGCGACAUCGUGUGGAAGCUGUAGGCAUUUACAGGGGAUCCCCAUGUAUUUUCUUCAGCCUUAGACAAUACAUUGACUGGCGGAUGAAUAUUAUUUUUGUGUUUUUGGUGAACAGUUUUUCGAAUGAUUUUUACUCCUAAACACGUUAUGUUAUAGCCACAGACACGAUUUAACCAGUUUUAGAGACUUCAGAGUGUUUUAUAUACACACACACUUAUCAUAUGCAUACACUAUAUUCCUGGCAUGAGUAGCAGGACGCUGAAAUAUUGCGCGAUUUUUAACAAAAAGCUGCGAAAAUUUGACUGGUACUCGUACAUAAGAGCUUGUUUCUGAAUGUCACUACAAGUUGAUUUGAAAAAACAGUGUUUCUGUUUUGCACCUAUUAACAUGACCUCUGCUGAACACUGUAGGUCCAGAGGGUUCUCCAGAAACACACCAGGCAGGGAGAAGUAGUGCUGUUGGUUUACAGAGGAGGUAAGACCAUUAACCUAUUUAACCUGUAUAAAUACUACCAUUACUACCACAAAUACACUAUUUACCUAUAUAACCUGUA
ensembl:lncRNA